rnacentral:tRNA from 1 species
CCUUUCUAAGGAUGAUCAAGAAUUGGAACUCUUUUAAUAAAGAUAUUCCUUUUUGAUCUCAUUAGACAUACAGGUCUUAAACAGUUUUGUUUAAGCCUUGCAUAUGACCACACACUUCAUAAACUGUCUCUUAAAGAGAGGUCCUCUUUGAUAAAAGAGGUACCUAGCUCUGUUGAGAAGGUUCUAUUAAGAGCUAAGUGUUCAUAUGUUUAAGUUAUACAAGCAGGCUAGCCGCCUUCGUUUCUCUUUCUUCAGAUGAUGAUCCCAAGCCUUCUGGCGAUCUCUUAAGCGCUGAAGUGUCCUCAUUUUUUAAGGGGGCUUUAAGCAGAAGAGCUUUAAAAGCUUUUGUCUGAGAAUAUGCCGGGGAAGGUUUUCCGGUUUAUCCCGGAGGGCUUGUAGCUCAGUUGGUUAGAGCGCGCGCUUGAUAAGCGUGAGGUCGGAGGUUCAAGUCCUCCCAGGCCCACCAAUUUAAUCUAUCCAUUAAAGAGCGCUUGUCCAAAAGCCUUUUUUGAAAAUGUAGCGCUUAUCUGUUUCGCUUAAAAGAGCAAAAAUUAGAUGAAGUUCAAAGACAAAAGAUCUUUGUAAAUUGAUUUUAAUUUUAAAAGUUUGGAGUGGGUUAUGCUAUUUUAGGGGCCGUAGCUCAGCUGGGAGAGCACCUGCUUUGCAAGCAGGGGGUCGUCGGUUCGAUCCCGUCCGGCUCCACCACUUUGGUCAUCAUCAUUGUUGUGAGAACAUCGUUUUGUGAGAGGUUUUUUGAUGACCUUUCGCCGGUUCUAUUGAAAUUGUGAAGAGAAGGUAUAUUCAGACAUGAUUUUUAUGCUCUGUCUUUUAAAGAUAAAGUUAUGAAAAUGAUGUGUCGCAAGGGAAUGCUCAAAGCCCUUGCAUAUGAUUGGAAGCUUAACCGCGCCACUGAGUAUAUCUCGAGAAGCUGGUCUUUUCUGCUGAUAUUUAUGUUUGUUUUGCGCUUUGUUUUGCACAAGAUAGAGAAUGCGGACAAGCAGACAAAUCAUUAAGCAACUAUAAAGGUAAGUAAUUACAAAAAGUAAAUGCUUAU